AAUAAAAUACAAGCAGCUGAUGCUUACAGUCCAAAGCAGUACCACAGGCCAAAUAAACACAUUUUAUACAUAAAAUUGUGACAACUGUAAACACUUGUAUCAUAAAUCAAACACACCUUCCUGCAAAUAAGCUUUUACCGAUAAGUAAUGUGAGGUAAUCUGACAGUAGGCAACAGAAACAUCUGCAAAUAAAAAUCUCCAUCAGUCCAUCUCUGCCAGGCUAACUGGUGCAGGUGUUUCAAAUUACAUUCAACAGGAAUUACUACAAAGUUAAGCAACAUUCAGUAUAACAACUUGUCUACUCCAGACUGAGACCGAGCGCCUGGCAGCUCACACAGCAUCAGUCUCACCACCACCAUACCAGUCAGAAGUAUGAAAUCACCCUGGGGAGCUGAUGAAGAAGAUGGGAAACAGCUUCAUGGUCUGCUCCUGCAGGCCUUAAGCAGGUGCUUGGGCCUCAACACUCCUUUGCCUCCGCCCCCUGCUGAGGAGACAACCAGGAAGAGGCAGGAUGGCCAGACCCCCCCGGUGGAACUACUCACAACAAAGACGGCUAUCAAAUGUUUCACAAAUUAAAUAAACAAUCAAAAUAACAA